rnacentral:rRNA from 1 species
AUGGGAACGCGAAGAACCUUACCUACUCUUGACAUCCAGAGAACUUUCCAGAGAUGGAUUGGUGCCUUCGGGAACUCUGAGACAGGUGCUGCAUGGCUGUCGUCAGCUCGUGUUGUGAAAUGUUGGGUUAAGUCCCGCAACGAGCGCAACCCGUUAUCCUUUGUUGCCAGCGGUUCGGCCGGGAACUCAAAGGAGACUGCCAGUGAUAAACUGGAGGAAGGUGGGGAUGACGUCAAGUCAUCAUGGCCCUUACGAGUAGGGCUACACACGUGCUACAAUGGCGCAUACAAAGAGAAGCGACCUCGCGAGAGCAAGCGGACCUCAUAAAGUGCGUCGUAGUCCGGAUUGGAGUCUGCAACUCGACUCCAUGAAGUCGGAAUCGCUAGUAAUCGUAGAUCAGAAUGCUACGGUGAAUACGUUCCCGGGUCUUGUACACACCG